GCCAGGAGCAAAACAAGCCCUGCCUCUUAUCAUCCUUAGCUCUGAGGGAGACCUGGAGCUGCAGUGGUCUUGUGGAUCUGUCCCAAACCCAGGCAAAGGAGCUGGAAGGUUGCACCCUGCGCCAAUGGCUCCCUGGAUUGGGGGGCCCCUUGCUCCAAGGCGGCGGAACCACUGAGCUAAAUCCCCGGCCCAUGAAGAGCUUAAUGUUGAGGGACAGGAAGAAGAUUCCUGAGUGACCACUGAGAGUGACAGAAGAAAGUCCAUUCCUCCGUCACCUUGCAGGUGCCACACCCAUGCAUCUGCCUCCAGAGGACAAAGCACCAUACAAAGGUCACGAGUUUGGAUGGCACGGCCUUGUUCCAGAACUCCAGGGAUCUAACUUGUUACUCUCCUCUUCGGGCUUGCCACAAACUGACACUGUCUGUUCCCACCACAGAGCCGUCUGUCAUCCGAGUUGGCUGGGUCACAUGACCCCAGCCGCCAGACUGUUUGUCCCACAGCCUGGGGCGGCUGCCGGUUCCUCCUCUGCCUUGGGCCCCUCUCAAAGAUGCCAGCCUUCCAUGUCACUUGGCAAAACAUCUUGCCGUCGUAUUUGUCAAGUGUGGAAUAUAUUGCUUGAAAAACCCAA
rnacentral:lncRNA from 1 species